UUAAACGACUCUUGGCAACGGAUAUCUCGGCUCUCGCAUCGAUGAAGAACGUAGCGAAAUGCGAUACUUGGUGUGAAUUGCAAAAUCCCGUGAACCAUCGAGUCUUUGAACGCAAGUUGCGCCCGAAGCCUUCGGGCCGAGGGCACGUCUGCCUGGGCGUCA
rnacentral:rRNA from 1 species